GCUGGGUGUGGUGGUGCAUGCCUGUAAUCCCGCUGACUCCGGAAGCUGAGGCAGGAGAAUUGAGGUCAAGGCGAGCCUCAACAACUUAGCAAAACCCUGUCUCAA
rnacentral:sRNA from 1 species